AUUGAACGCUGGCGGCAGGCCUAACACAUGCAAGUCGAGCGGCAGCGGAAAGUAGCUUGCUACUUUGCCGGCGAGCGGCGGACGGGUGAGUAAUGUCUGGGAAACUGCCUGAUGGAGGGGGAUAACUACUGGAAACGGUAGCUAAUACCGCAUAACGUCGCAGGACCAAAGAGGGGGACCUUCGGGCCUCUUGCCAUCAGAUGUGCCCAGAUGGGAUUAGCUAGUAGGUGGGGUAACAGCUCACCUAGGCGACGAUCCCUAGCUGGUCUGAGAGGAUGACCAGCCACACUGGAACUGAGACACGGUCCAGACUCCUACGGGAGGCAGCAGUGGGGAAUAUUGCACAAUGGGCGCAAGCCUGAUGCAGCCAUGCCGCGUGUAUGAAGAAGGCCUUCGGGUUGUAAAGUACUUUCAGCGGGGAGGAAGGUGUUGAGGUUAAUAACCUCAGCAAUUGGCGUUACCCGCAGAAGAAGCACCGGCUAACUCCGUGCCAGCCGCCGCGGUAA
rnacentral:rRNA from 1 species